UGCCAGCAGCCGCGGUAAUACGUAGGGGGCAAGCGUUAUCCGGAUUCAUUGGGCGUAAAGCGCACGUAGGCUGCCCAGUAGGUCGAGAGUUAAAUCCGGGGGCUCAACCCCCGUCCGCUCCCGAUACCGCUGGGCUUCGAGUCUGGUAGGGGAAGGUGGAAUUCCCAGUGUAGCGGUGGAAUGCGCAGAUAUUGGGAAGAACACCGGUGGCGAAGGCGGCCUUCUGGGCCAUGACUGACGCUGAGGCGCGAAAGCUAGGGGAGCGAACAGGAUUAGAUA
rnacentral:rRNA from 1 species